rnacentral:rRNA from 1 species
AAUGGACGAAAGUCUGAACCAGCCAUGCCGCGUGGAGGAUGAAGGUCCUCUGGAUUGUAAACUUCUUUUAUAUGGGACGAAAAAAGGCCUUUCUAGGCCGUCUGACGGUACCAUAUGAAUAAGCACCGGCUAACUCCGUGCCAGCAGCCGCGGUAAUACGGAGGGUGCAAGCGUUAUCCGGAUUCACUGGGUUUAAAGGGUGCGUAGGUGGGUUGAUAAGUCAGUGGUGAAAUCUCCGAGCUUAACUUGGAAACUGCCAUUGAUACUAUUAAUCUUGAAUAUUGUGGAGGUUAGCGGAAUAUGUCAUGUAGCGGUGAAAUGCUUAGAUAUGACAUAGAACACCAAUUGCGAAGGCAGCUGGCUACACAUAUAUUGACACUGAGGCACGAAAGCGUGGGGAUCAAA